AGAGACUUGUGAGUUGUGGUAUGUGACUAUGUGUCACGUGGUAAUUGCAUGCACUAUGUUAAGCCACUGCAAUAUACAGUCAUCACUUUCUUCUCAUUUAUUCUGUGAACUUGCGCAUCUCAAUUUAUUGAACUACUUAACAAGUGCAUGUGAACGAUUUUGGUGGAUGAUGUUUAAUUACUUUUCUGCUGAAUCUUUAUUGACUACUAUGUAGACAGAUUUUAACUUUACUUUGAUGAUUUGAUUGAUGUUGAAGUUAACCAGAAUUAUUUCACUUAACUGAUCAAAUAGAAUUACACAUACACUAAGAUCAUAUCAUAUGAGUGAAUUGAGUGAUCAAGACUGAAAAGAGAGGAAGCAUGGAUACAAGUCUAUUAACGGAGCAAAGAGUAGGCCAUGCUUCAUUCACAGCGGAAGUGAAGACCAUAUGCUUCAUUCGUCCCAGUUUCCGUUGCAGAUUGUUUCAACCAUGAUUGUUGGUCUCUCUUGCCAGCGCUGCCUUGGCCAUCUGAUCUCCAUCUUUGGGAAUGGCUAGUGGAUUGGAAACUCUUUGUGGACAAGCAUAUGGAGCUAAACAAUAUCACAAAUUUGGAAUGCAAAAUCCACACUGCUAUAUUCACUUUAGUGUUGAUGUGUGUUCCACUUGCACUCAUUUGGUUCAAGAUGCUUUGAUUUCACAGGAAGCAGGGAGAUUCACAUGCUCAUCACUUCCUCUCUCACUUUCUGUAUCCAUAUACCUCUGUGUUGGGCUUUGGUAUACAACACUGGAUUUGGUAACAUAGGUGCAGCCAUAGCACUUAGUAUUUCAAUCUCGCUAAACACUGCUUUCAUUGGGUUAUACAUAAGAUUCUCUUCUGCUUGUUCCAAAACCCGUGUUCCCAUCUCCAUGAAGCUAUUCAAGGGAAUUGGAGAGUUCCUUCGCUUUGCUUUCCCUUCUGCAAUCAUGUUUAUAUUCUUGUUUAAUCUGUAAUAUUAAUCUUUAAUGACGAUAAUAAUUAUAUAUUAUGUGUUGCAGCCUUGAAUGGUGGUCAUUUGAGUUGUUUAUCUUGCUCUCUGGCCUUUUACCAGAUCCAGAACUUGAAACAUAAGUUCUUUCAGUUUGGUAAGUUGUGUAACAUGGCAUAACUUUUCUUGUUAAGUCUGAUGUGAGAUUUUUCUUGUGCAGUCUCAAAGAGGGGCACUCUACCUGUUAAUGUUGCAAGUGUGAGGAGUGCAUGAAUUUAGUCUCACAUCAAAGAAAACAAAGAAGAAUGAGAAGUUUAUAAGAUGAGAGAUUCAUUAAUUUAAUAUUUUAAGAUUUUAAGUUGGAUAUAAUGUCUUCUUAUCUUAAGUUAGUCUCACUUGAUUCUUCUCUUUUGGGCUUAAGGUGAAAUAAUUCAUUGAUUUUUAAUGCAGGUAAUCAAUGCAAGAAAGAGGCUAUUUGAAAGGCACUUUUCCGAGGAUAAUGGAUUGAUCAGAGAAGACAAUGACGAAAACUCAAAUUUGAAGAUGGCAUAGGAUAGAUUCAUAUUUCUUUAGAGGAAGUUGUUUGGUUCUGUUAUUCCAAAUGAGUAUCACAGUUGCUUCAUUUUCACCAAUGAGAAAUAAUAUUUGACUAAUGCUACAUUUUAA